GAUGAACGCUGGCGGCGCGCCUAACACAUGCAAGUCGAACGAUUAAAGCACCUUCGGGUGUGUAUAAAGUGGCGAACGGCUGAGUAACACGUGGGCAACCUGCCCCUCUCAUUGGGAUAGCCACGGGAAACCGUGGAUAAUACCGAAUACUUCGGGACUUCCGCAUGGAAGACUCGAGAAAGCUCCGGCGGAGAGGGAUGGGCCCGCGGCCUGUUAGCUUGUUGGUGGGGUAAUGGCCUACCAAGGCAAUGAUGGGUAGCUGGGUUGAGAGACCGACCAGCCAGAUUGGGACUGGGGCACGGCCCCGAAUCCUACGGGAAGCAGCAGUGGGGAAUCUUGCACAAUGGGCGGAAGCCUGAUGCAGCGACGCCGCGUGCGGGAUGAAGGCCUUCGGGUUGGAAACCGCUUUCAGCAGGGACGGGGCGAAAGUGACGGUACCUGCAGAAGAAGGCCCGGCUAACUACGUG
rnacentral:rRNA from 1 species